CUCCGAGGAAGGGGGCGGAGCGCGGCGGCGGCGGCCAACCCGCGGCCGGACGGAGGCUGGGGGGCGCCGAGCCCUUCAACGUCAGCGGCUCCGAGCGCCACCCGGCCCGCCCCCGGCCUCGCGCCCCUCCCGGCCCUGCGGCAGACACGCGCACGCGCACCACGCCGCAGGACGCCUCCAGCGGCCUCGCACCCCUCCCGGCCCUGCGGCAGGCACGCGCACGCGCACGCGCACGACGCCGCAGGGCACCCCCGGCGGCCUGGCGGCCUGGCGCCCUUUCCGGCCCUGCGGCGGGCCCGCGCACGCGCACGACGCCUCGGGUCCCGGGCCCUCCCGGGCCCCCCGCUCUCCGGGACAUCAACGUUGGUGCAGGAGCGGGCGCCGCAGAAGCCGAAUUUCAGCAUCCGCGCUGGGCAUUAACUGUUCUUCUGCUUGGCUUUAAAUGCCUCGUGUCCUAGGGCAGAGAAAGGAGAUCGCGGGCACAAGCGGGCCACGUGGACCCCCUCCUCCCCGGGUGCACUCUGGCCCCUCCUGCCAGGCGCCUCCAGCGCCGAGGAAGGGACCUGGAACGAUUCUGGCUUCACCUCAAGAACGGGGCGCAGAAGUAGACAGGGGCAAAGUGCGUGCUCAGGGUCACCUGGCAAGUUGGUGGCACCGCUUCCGGCCGCUCCUGAGCCACUGCGCCAACAAACGUAUCCAGGUGUGUUCCUUCUAGAUGGCUGGCAGCGACGGCCACGCGAAGACACACGUGCAGUAUUAAGCCAGAGGCUUGUCUAAGGGCCUUAGGGGAAGGCGGUAGAGGGGCCACGGGCCACCGAGCCCCUCCACUGCCCUUUACCAUAGUACACGGGACUCGUAAGUGACUAGACAUCUCUAAGGGCGGAUGCGAUUGCCUCGCUUUGAGAGAGCCCUGUAAGUCCCAGCACAGCAACUGAGUCUGCACAAUGAAUCCAUAAAGGCAAAAGCCUUGGGAAAUCUGUUAUCCCUAAGAGCGUGCAGCCUCUGGUGGAGGACUGUGCCUCUGGGGUGUGGGCUGCCCCCCACCGCUGACCCCAGGGAGGGGAGAAGGAAGGCGGGGCACGUCUUUUUUCUUUCAUUUUACCAUUCUUUCCCUUGAAGACAAAAUGCAACAAUCACAUCCCACCCUAGAGUGUGGGGUGUGGCCCACCUGAGGGUCCCUGGUGAGGAUUUAAAGAACGCGUAAAGCUAGCCCAGACGUCUCCCGUGUCCAGUGCCACGGCCAAGUGGGGAAGAGUGUCCACACCCCCAGCUCUCCUUGGCAUGUCAAUCAGCCAGUCAUUGGCAGGCGAACAUUGUCCCCGCCCUGCAGCCUCCUACAGGCAGCGGGGACCGGAUGUCUCCGCACAUGGGGUCCUGCUAGUGGCCCGGCCUGGAGGGAGGACAGUCAGCCCUGUCUUGCCUGCAGCUUGCCGCCGUGGGAGUGUGACCUGGCCGCCUCCCCGACUCUCUGAGCCUCUGUGUCUCCAGCCAUUAAGGGAACGUUUUGGGCCAGAUCCAGGGUCCUGUUCCAGCUCAGCUGUGUGAUUAUAUUUUAGAUUUAGAGGUAUUAAUUGAAAUAAAAGGCAAGUUCUUGACUGAGGAAGCCGGCUGGUGGGUCCCUGUGCUGUACAUUUUUGCCACUCACACCCGGGUCGCCCGUAUACGCUGCCGCUCCUGCUAGCCCACGCCGAACAGCAAACUCCUGCACACAUGCCGUACUUUGCUUUGGGGAGGCCACAUCUUGCCCAGAUGAUCCAUCUGACCCAGAUAGGGAAACAGAAGCAAGGCAAGGAGGCGGAGCUGCUUCCUUGAGCGCUGGCCCAGCUGGCUGCGGGCAAACUCUUGGAGAGGCCCUUGGCCUUGGUCUGGGAGUUAGCAGGGCCUGAGUCAUUAAACCCAGCUACUAACCUGGGUUUGAGAAGAUAAAUCGGUGAUGACUAAACCAGGCCUUAUUCAUACGUGUGGCAUUAAUGUCUUUCUGCAUAUUUUCAGUAGACUCCAUCGUCUCCCAGACUCUUUCUUUCCUUGGAGAAAAGCAACAGAUCCUUGUCAACUACGUGGUGGCCAACGCCUAAAAGUUACACUAAUGUGAAGGUGAGGUUUUUUGUGUUUGGAGCUGAAGCCGUAAUGGCAGCAAAGAAAUACACCAAAAACCAUGUUGGAUGUGCAUCCUUAGUUAUCCCACCUAAGCUCCAGGACCAACUCCCAUUUGUUUAGCUGCCCUCACCACCGAGCUCAUUCUGGAACCCUUCCCCUCACUGGGUCUCCGGCUCCUCGUGUAAAAUGCUCUCUAGCUGGAUCGGCGUACGUAAACAUGCAAAGCUCUUGCACUCCGAUGUUUGAAUCUCUAACUUCUUUUACAACGAGGCUCAUGUAUAAAUCUGCUGUAUACGGUUUUUGAACCAAAAAAUGAGGACAUGUCUGAAGAAGGGGGUGUUUUCUCUUCAUUUACUUACUAACACGGAAGGGCUUAUAAAGGUAUAUAUAGCGAAUACAAAUUUAAGGAGUCCCCUUUACUGGAAAUAAUUAAAGAACGUAAAAGACAACAGUUGGCGAACAUUUAUGUAUCCAUGCAGUCGAUAUUGGAAUAUUAGACAUUGAGAACCUCCUGGAAAAUGGGCUUGUGUUCUGUCCACAUGUCAAAGGUCAUCUGCUGCAGCACCAGAUAUCUUCCCAGAGGCACAAGAGUCAACUCGGGAGUGAGGCUCUCGUGACAUCCAGUUACAUGAGGACCUGGGAGAGUUUAGGGCCCGUCCCACAAGGGUGCCCUGAUUCAGGACACCUGGGAAGCAGUCAUGGGACACUCUAGUCACCUGUGGAUGUUUGACCAUGCGUUCUGAAGCUCAGUCGCUCAUCACUCACUAGCCUUGCCCUGGAAUCGCCUGACGUGUUUCCAAAAAUCCAAUCCACCCUCCAAGGUGGAAAGUGUGCUAUCUUCACCCAUGUCCAAAUGACGUGCCCCGGGCACAGCGAGAUUCCGGGAGGCCCUCCUUGCUCUGAGCAACACAGGUGUCAUCACAGAAGGGGGGCACCCCCACAGGUGUCUGUGGGAAGCCAAAGACACCCAUGUGUAAGUGGAAGUGCCAGGACGUCUGUUUUACAAAGUGUUGUCUCACUGCCCCACCUCGCCCCCGCCCUGGUAGGGCUCCCUGGCAAGUUGCUGGCACAGAGGCCUUCCGGCAGGAAGGGAGCCAGGGCCUCCUGGAGCCCAGCAGCACCCUGUGGCAGGUCGCUGGGCACGCGGUACGUUGCGGAGAAAAGGUGGCUUCUGUCCAGACGUGAAGAGCCGGAGUUCAUUUGACUGGCAAAUUGGUUUUAGCAAUGCUUUGCUUCCCACAGCCUGCCUUCUGAGCAGCCUGAAGACAGAGCCCCAGGAUGUGUGUGCUGAGCCGGCAUUCAGACAUGCCACCUUCCUCACGGGGUCCGACAGCAGGACAAAGGUUUUCAGAUCUGACCGCUUGAUCUGACCGCUUUACUUAGCUACAACUCUUCACUGGUGGCCUGGGGCCCAGAGGGUGAAGUCUGGACACCUAGCCCAGCACCCAGGACCCUCUGAGAUCUGUCCCACUCCUUUUCCCAGUCUCUUCUCCUGCGCUGGGCUGUGCACCAGCCCUCCUAAACCCCUUCGUUCCGCAGAGCCUGCCCACCUGUCAUCCCAGCGCGCCUCAGACAGGAUGGGUGCCUUGGGUCUUGGCCUCUAUCUCUUCCUACUCCCUUUGAAGUAAGGACCACAAUUUACUUACCUUCACACGUCCAGCUGCUAGCCCAGUACCUGGCACACGAAAGUCACUCAACAUUGUUAGGUUGGAGCGAGGGCUGCCCUGAGAAAUCUGUGACUUGUGGUUACGCGGCUGAUAGCUCAUGGGAAUUUCUCCCUAUGUGCCGUCUAAAAUCAGAGGGAGAAAAGAUGCUGAAUAUUCUCCCUUCGGUCAUUCAUUCAUUCAGUCCGUGUUUAUCUUGAGCGUCUCCUACAUGCAGUUGGUGUGCUGGGCAACGGAGGAUCCUGGGGCUGCCACUCUGUGCUGGGUGCUACCUGCCAAGGGCCCGACCUUCUGACCCACUGCCUCUUUUGUUCGAUUUUCUCCUAGGCUCCUGGUGACUGCCUCUGACCCCACCUGUGGCAACACCUGUGCUGGGUUUUGCCACUGCCCCACUUCUUGCUGGAGCCCCACCCUGGUGGGGUCCCCACCUCUGGGAAACCCCAGAGCCUGCAAGAGUUCUUCCUUGCAUGGCAGGGAUCAGCAUGUGGAGGGCCUGGCACAACGUAGGCCUUCUGGAAAGGGGCGCUCUGCCUAGGGUUGGUGUGAGCUCCACAUUCCUGCCAAGUCAGACCCAAGUCUGAAGGGCUAACAGUAUCGUGCCGGGCUGAGCCUCGGGCGCCCUGGGCAUAAGGCAAUGUGUGUCUGGGCUCAUCAGGAGAGCCUGUAGGAGCAUCUCAGGGGGAUGCAUGUUUUCCCCCUUCAACCUGUGAGCCCUUAUUCUAGGCCAGGCCCCCUCUAGCUGCCAAGGAGGAGAUGGGCCAGGGAGGUCCCUGUCCUCAAGGAGCGCACAGUCAGAGGGGAGGCCAGCUCCCAGGCAUGUGCUGUGUAUGUCUGGUCACCAGGACAGGUGCUCAGCCCAGCAUGGGGGCCCAAGGACAAAGGCAUGAGCUGGCUCUGGGUAUUAGAAACAGAGAGAAAAUCUCCUCUGGCUGGUCUGAGCUGGGGAGGGGCCAAGGGCACUCAAGUUAAGGGCGUGGAGAGAGGUAACCAUCAUGUACCUAGCUUCACUUGGGAAAAGAACUAAAGGCUAUAUGACAGGACUCACUCUGGGGACAGCCUCUGACCCUCAGGGGCCACUGUGAUUGUGCAGACAGAUCUCAAUCUACAUUUCCCAUCAGCCCAACCAAAUCCUUUCUGACAACAGGACCCAGUCAUCUCAAAGGGUGGGAGGAGGGGUUAGCUGCCCUAUGCAGUUAUUAAACAUUCCCCUUCGGCAUGCCAUGCCCUAUAUCAGUCUGGGCUCCAGCCCGCAGUUCAGUGGGGUGAAUUUAACAUGGGAACUAGUUACAGAGAUAACAGAAUAUCUAACUGCUGCAGAAAGCUGCUACCACCCAUAGGCUGGGCAUAAAAGGGAGGAAGGGCCCCCAGCAGAGCUGUGGCCACCUGGGGGGUGCCCAGUGGGAACUAGAACCACAGAGAGGCACCGACCAGAGGGCGCUGGAACCACCAAAGGGAGCAGCCAAUACCAGGGAUAUUGCUCCAAGCAGAGACAGGAGGAGAAGGACCCAGCUUCUCCAUCCUCCACUCUCUUACUAGGCCCCCCCAGUUGGACCCUGUUGGCAAGAGAGCUGGCAAGUGAUUUUCAGGACUCAGCCCCCAUCUCCGUCCACCCGAAAAAUAGCCCAGCCCUGGUGGGUGGGGGGAUAGGCAUGAGAUCAAGCAGGCUAAUGACAGGCACAGCUCCCUUUCCAAAGGCUUGUCAAAAUCUUCUUCCUGCUAACUUGGAGGACACUUCCCAAGAAGAGUUCCAGUAAGCACAGUAUUAUGUUUCCUAUUGGCUUGAGCAACAGGGAAAACUAAUCAUCUCAUAUACCAAGAAAUGUCAAGGAAGGGAGGCUCCAGUUUCAUUCAUUUAGAAACUCACAAACAACACUAAAGACCCAGGUCCUGUUCAUCUUUCUUACUUCCAUGCCCAGGGUGGAGGGAGCUCCCUUCAUGGUUGCAGAUGGCUGGCCUGGUUGUCAGCAUCAGACACAGUUUAUAAAGCAAAGGCUCGUGGAAAGAAGUAGAGAGCAUCUCUUCCUCUAUCUCUCUUUACACAAGAACUAACUCUCCCCAGCAUACUUCCCUUCCUGUCCUAUUAAGUGGAAUGGAUCACAUCCAAUUGGACCUCCCUGGCCCAUCUCCUCCUUGGCAGCUAGAGGGGGCCUGGCCUUCUCAAUCUCUAGGAAGGAGGGUGGGACCUCCCUGGUUGACUUAAACUGAUUUCUAUUCACCCACUAGCACUAGAAAUGCUUCUCUUAUCUGCUGCCUCCCCCAGGGUGCACCUGAAAAUGCCGUUUGGGUUGGGGCCACCUGAAGGACCUGGGUCUGGAAGAGGCCAGAAGUCCCAGGAAGAGCCCAGCUGGGAGCUGAGCAGCCUGGAAGAGUCAGAACCAGCUGGACGAGAAAAAAGAGAAGCGACACAGAUUGGAUUUUACAAAGGCAGCUGCUCCAAUAUGUCAGCCCCACCCCGCCAAGACAUUAAGUGGAAUCUGGGCUGCCUUGUGGCUUGUUUAAACCAACAGAAUAUGGUAAAGACAAGGCAGCUUCCACGUUGUGAGCUGGGACGCUGGCCUUUGGAGCCCCGGGUCACCUUGUAAGAUGGGAGGCUGCCCUUAGGCCACCAUGCUGGGGGAACCCCAAGCCAGGUGAAGAGCCCCGUUCAGGGAUCCAGGGCCAGCACCAACACAUACAAUCCAGCUCAAGCUGGGAAGUCACUCAGCCACCAAAUCUUCUCCACUGAGGACCCAGACGUCAUGGAGCAGAGACAAACCUGGCCCCACUGUCCAUGACCCACCAAAUCUUCAUGUGUAAUAGAUGGUUGUUUUACCCCACUAAAGUUUGGGCUAAUUUGUUACAUAGCCAUAUAAAACUGAAAGAAGUAGCUAUAAUAUUCUUACCAAAAAUUCUGAGCGGGGUGCCUGGGUGGUUAAGUGUCUGAUUCUUGGUUUCGGCUCAGGUCAUGAUCUCAGGGUCUCGAGAUUGAGCCCAGUGUCAGGCCCUGGGCCCAGCAGGGAGUCUGCUUGAAGAUUCUCUUUCCCUCUCCCUCUGCCCUUCCCCCCAUUGACGUGCAUGCUCUCUCUCCCUUUCUCUCCCUCCCUAAAAUAAAUAAAUCUUAAAAAAAAAAUUCUGAGCUGGGCCUGCAUACCCCUGUGAGCAGCUGUCUCUGGAAGAGCCCAGCUUUGGGGUUAAGUAUUUCCUAGCACAGGAGUGAGAGAGUGAGCUCUGGGGACAGAGUGCUUGGAUCUGAGUCCCAGACCUCCCCGGCAAGUCAGCUCCUUUCCCUGAAUCUCAGUCUUCUCAUCUCUAAAUGGGGGAAAUAAUAGAAACCACCUCUUGGGGUUGCCCUGGAGAUUAAAUGAGAUAAUUUACAAUCUACUGAAAUUGACAGCUGCAAUGGAAACCUUUUUAACGUCCUCUGCCUCGAUACAACAAAACUGUUUUCUGUUAGUAACUUCUGUAAAAACCAGCAGCAACGAUCACUUUCUUGAUUUGUUCUUUAGGUUUAAAACAAGCAAAAAAUUGUUUUAAAAGAAGAAACUUCAAUUCUACAGAUAUUAUUCAAAUUAAAUUAAAUGUUUCGUGUAUGAACAAAAAUCCAUAUCCACCAAAUACAAAUAUCACAUCUUACAGUUAGCAUCCCCACUGCUUACACUUUCUGUAUCGAAACUACAUAUGGAAGGACAGGUUGAAUUUAAGCUCUGUUCCUUUGCAUUCCCAACCUUGUGACAUUGUUGUUUAUUUCAUAUCUGUCAUGGGAGCUGGAGACAUGAAUUGUUCCCGGGCUGAGCUCAAAGGCAGGGAUCAAGAGCAGAAACGUCCUGGGCGAUUGGCAAGGACCAGCUGGUUAGCCUCCCGAAGGAUUGCAAACCACGAGAAACAGAACAAACACAUGUAGCCAAGUCUGUGUGAAUCAGGGGCCAACUACAGAACUGAGAGUUUUCUGAAUUAACCGAGGUGCAGCAAAGGACAAUUUAUGAACCAGGCGAGCAAUGAAAACGUGACGUUUCGCAGACGUAUCAUUAAAACGCAAUUAUAACCACAGCGAUUGUUUAGAACAAAGGAACUUCUUCAAGGAGGAGUAUUUCAUCUGUGCCACUGGAGAGAAUUGAUGGGCCAGGGGACAAUGACAAGCAAGGCAGCUUCCGGUCAGCUUUGUUAUCGUUUUCAAAUUACCUACAGACAUUGCAGGUCCCGACUGCCUGUCGGGGGGGCAGACGCUCGGCUGUCCCGCCGGUCUAAAACCACAGCUCCUGGUGAGCAGAGACAUUAGCUCUCAGUACAGCUGGUCCUGGGCUCUUGGGGGGAAAGUCUUCCCCAUCUCUGUGAGUGGGGGCGUCUAACUGUUAUUUUGUAGAGCUGCUGGACGUAGGAAUUUGCAUGGCUGUUGGUUACUGGAUUAUUCCAUAGAUUAUAAGGUGCCUGGAGCCGGCCUUGACAUUUGGGAAAGGCUCAACAACAAACAGUUGAGAACUCUCAUAUCUGCUUCCGUAUCUACCCCAGCCAGUUCCCUCUCCUGGAAUGCCUUCCCGUUAGAUCUUUGCUGAUUAAAAUUUGCCUCAUCUCAAAUCAGUGAAAUCCCGGUAAUUACAUUCCUACAGAUCUGUUUACAUCUGCCCUCUCCUGGGUCUCUGGGCCGUAUCUGGUCUUGUCUGGUCUCUGCUUCUUUGACAAGGUGGGGUAUUAGCAUUGAGGUGCACGUGCUGUCCUGUUACCCCACGAAAUUGCAUGUUCCGUGGACGAUGAGCCCAUGUUUUCCCUUCGCUGCAUCCAUUUAGAAACCAAACAGCCAUAGUCCCUAAUUAGGUCCUCAUUUCUGAUGUUGAGGGUCCCCUUCCUUACAGACUCUUGGUGCUGACUUUAGGGUAGACAUAUGGUCCCAGAUGAUGUUGUAAGGUGAGUGUAAAUCCCGGUUUGCCUGGGACAGUCAGCCCUGGGUUAUGCUGUUGUUCCCACGUAAUGAGUGGUCACUUUCCCUUCACUCUCAACGAGUCCUGGUUUGGCUGAGAAGUCUUACUGUCCCUUCCCUCUAGAUGACCCUUGCCUCAUCUCCCAGAUCUUCUCACGGCUUCAUGGGCACUCACCUCCUCUUUCACUCUCUCCAGAACGUACCUGUCUGAACCUCGGGCCCGGGCCAUACACCCAUCUAGGGGAUUCUGGGAGGCCCGUUGCCCAUGACCUUUCAGAUGAGUCUGAGCCAGUGGCCUGAGCACCGUGACUGGGCUUUCAACCAACAGCAGCAUGUGGAGGGUGAAAGCAAGACUCAAGCAGGAGGAGGGGAGGAGCCAUGGGCUGCCUGGGACCUUCACAAAUGAACUGUUUGGGCUGCAGGUGUGACAGUCUGCUCUCUUGUACAGCAAGGACAAAUAUAAAUCGGUACCACACUUACUGAACACAAUUUCGCAGAACCGUGUUUGCAGGACAGGAUUCCGGCCAAGGACAGGAUAUUCCUUGGAAAGUCUGUUGACUCAGCGCUUUAGAAGCAAGUGGGAACGGCUCCCUGAGCCACAGGCUGGGCAUCCUCAGCUGUGACCUCCCUUCGGAAGAAAGCGCCCCUGUAACUCUCUGCUGAGGUGUGAUACAUUGCCGGAGUCUGAGAGCCACCCCAUGACAUAAUUUUAACUUUUAAAAUCACUUUUUCAUGCUGCUGGACAAAGGCAAUUCUUCCUGCUUAUAAAACCAAACCCCUCAUUACACUAAAUGGACUCUCCUCUAACCAUUACUUUCGCGAAGCGCACGCUGGCCAGAUGAAGGAUCCGGAAGGAUACUGAGUUGCAGAUCUGAGGCACAGGGCUUCAAGUGUAGGCAUCCUCGUCACACGUUUGUGAAGUCCUACAUGGACAACUCCCACUUACGUCACUGCAUUCAGCUCACAGAGCGGCCUUGUGGCCCACUGACUGCAGGGGGAGAUGGCUCCUUUUGGCUUAAUUGCACCUGUGCACCUGGGAGCAUUACAGUGCUCUGACCUGCACCCUGCCAAGAGCUUAGCCAGGUUGCCUCCCUGUUCCGAGCCUCACUUUUCCAGUCUACAAAAUGGGAAGGAGGAACCACUGACCAAGGAUCCCGAAGGUCUUUGCUGUGCUGACUUCCCCCAGGUCUACAGUGAAGCAGAAGGAGGGAAAGAUCCGCCUGGUGAAGUGAGUGGCCGAACUGGGCAGGAACUCUAGCCUCCCGUGCACAAAUGGAGGUGUACUUUUUUGGCACUUUGCAAAUGCCAGCUUCAUGACCCACCUGCACAGAGAAGUAAACCCGUAAGCCUAGAUUAGGCUCACUAAACACCAGCAACCUGAGCCGGAGAAGAACUUAGGUUUUGAGGCCAACAAGCUUGGGUUCGGCUCUCAGGCUUGCCAUUGAAGAGUCACGUGACCUUGGGCGAGUCACGAAUUCUGUGUGCCUCUGCUUCCUCGUGUAUAAAAUGAGGAUAACAAUAUCUACUGCACAAGUUGUCAUUUCUUGGCAUCCUUCAUUUCUGCCUUUAAUUCAUAUACAACAACUGAUAAUAGUAGCAUUAGUCAGAGUUGAUAUUUGGGUGCUGAGACCAUGAUAGUUGCUCACAUAUUGAAGUAAUUUUGCAGUCCUGAGCCUUCUGACCGCUCAGCCCCUCCCUUGGGACCCCCCUUCCCCCACCCCCCCUCCAUGACUUCAGCAAAGUCCCUGCGGCCCGUCCCCUAGGGACUCUGCUUCCAUCUGAUUGGUCAGUGUCUGCGUAAUGCCAGUUGUUAAUUUUUAAAAAAAAUUAAUAGGCUUUAUUUUUCAGAACAGUUUUAGGUUUACAGAAAAAUCAAGCACAAAAUAGAGUUCUCAUAUACCUGCCCCUCUGCCCACCCACAUUCUCCCUAUUAUUAACAUCUUGCAUUAAUGUGGUAUGUUUGUUACAACUGAUGAAUCAAUAUUGAAAUACCAAUACAUUAUUGUUAACAACACGUGUUUUAUUUUAAUCAAAGAGAGACUAUACAAAUUGUGUUUGCUUGAUAAGUCUGCCGGCCUAAAAUGAAAUGUCUUUAGUUGAACAUUAGGAUCAUCUGGGGCGUUUUCAAAAUAUGCCAAUGCCCUGACCCCAACCUCGACAAUUAAAGCAGAGAACUUUGAGGGGAGUGGUGUCCAAGCAUGACCCAUAGAGCCCUGAGGUGAUCCUAACGUGCUGCCAGGGACAAGGACCACGGCUCCCCAGCCCUGCCCUUCAGAUGGAGGCCUGUGGUCCCACGGUCGCAUGGGGGCUUGCUAGAAAUCCAGACUCUCAGGCCCCUCCCCAGACCUAGUGACCCAGAACCUGUGUUUUAACAAGACCCAGGUGAGCUGUGAGCACACAGAUGUUGGAGAAUCAAAGCUCUAGAGCAGGCUCCUGUGUGAAUAUGAUAUGUGAGGUCACGUGCGCCCUUCCACAAUUCAGGACCUUCCCACCCCCUGGGAACCCACCCAAAGGACGGGUAAUGGGCGUCCGCUCUAGGUCCGCAUACUGAAACGUUUAAGAAUGUCUGGGGUCUACAGGGAAGAAACGACCUCUGCUGUGCUAUCGUCUCUGUAUACUGCUACAGAUGCACCUGUGCAGAAGGAGGGGGGAUUUUCUUUUUACUUUUUAUGUUUCUGAAUUUUAAAAAAUGAUGAGAAGCUUGUCUUACGUUGAUUAAUUGAUUGAUUGAUUUAGGUCCUUCUUUUUGAGUUCACCUCGUUUAGAUGGGGAGAGGCACCAUUUGGAGGUGGCAGCAGAUCUAAGCAUUUGUAUGAUUGUUACCUUUUGUUAUCAAGAAAACAACGAGACCCCGGAAGAACUCACACUCCAAAGCCACCUGGCCACCCUCUCCCCAUUUACUUAGUUACUCGGCAUUUACCCCGUGCUUCCAGUUCACAAAAUAUUUCCACGAGCUUGGUCGUCUUUAACUCUUGCCACAGCCCAGCAAGGCAACAACCCUGUCGAAGAUAAGGAAACUAAAGCUCAGGGAAAUCCGAUGCUUCUAGUCUAAUAGCAGGUGCGAAUCCAGAUUUUCUGUUCUGAGACAACUGCCAACAAAUAUGCUUCUUUAGGUCUACAGCCGAAGAGUAAGCACGCAGCUGAUGCCCAGUAAAGAUCUACAGGUUGAACGAACAAACUAAGAGUAGGGAAAGUUGCUCUCUGGUUCCCCAACCCUGAGUUCUGCAGAGUUCUGGUGAUGGCCUCAGCAGAAAUGACCGGGCACCAAGACACCAUCUGCCCCCGUGACACCCAGCUUUGUCCACCCCCGUCAAUGAGUGUGGGCCAACUCUCAGAUCUGCCGGGAGUCUGCUGAGGUGAGCUGUAAAGGGGCUCCCCUGCGCUGCCUGCUUCCCCCAGCUCCCCUAAAGGCCACAGGUGAGAGCGGGCCCAGGGGGCUAAGGGCCCACAAAGUUCAAGAUGGUGGUGCUAAGGCAAGGCUGCUCAAGGGCUCCACCAGGCCAUGUGCUUGUGGCUCAGCCUGCUCAGCCUGCUCAGCCCCCUCAGCCGUCUUGUGUGUAAGCACCCACAACAAGGGUCUGCCAGAGAGAGACACAGGACAAGGGAUUGCUCUUAGGGGGCUGGGCCUAUGUGAGCAGGUGGGGUAAGGGCUACUGAGGUCUUGGAGGCACUUAGUCUGGAUCUGCCUGUACGUGAGGUUAGGACAACCAGCAUCCCCUCAGGGUUCUAGGGCCAUUAGAUUCUAAUAUUUUUUACUGACUAGUGUGUAGCAUUUCAAACAUAUGAGCUGACUUGAUUUUGUGAGUGAUUUUGGACAACUGGUUACCUUUCAUAGGAGUGUUUCCAGUAACAUACACCUUAUAUUCCAAAUAACUAACUUCCACAUGAAAUCUUAGAACACAGCCCCUGCUUCUAAGUUCCGGAAGGGGGUUGCUGCAAAGGAGGGAAACGCAGCAGAAGGGCUGCACGUGCUGCAAAGAAUACCAUCUGUCCUCUGAAAACAGUGACAUGGACCCCAUUUCCACCCAACCUAUGUGAAGGACACAUCUCCUUAGCAGCGAUAGCUUGGCCACUCCUGUCCGCGGACUAACACUCUUGCACUGAAGUCCUCUGCACGUCUAACUGGAAGGAAGCCUCUUUGUGGGGAGGACAAGGUCCACCGUCGUGCCCUCAGCACCUUGCUAAGUAUCCCCUCACCGUAUGCUGAAGAAACGAGUCCUGAGUGGCUGUGGGGGCUGGGGGUGGCUCGUGAAUGAUGCAAUGCUUCUGUUCUAGAAGUGCUGCCAUCUAGCAGGGGACAUAAGCACAGAGAUCACUGCAACCAAGGGCAGAAGGGGACAAGGACAGAGGUGCAAGGACAGAGGGCUUUGGCUCCAGCAGCAAGCAUGGAGAAAGGCUUUAUGAAGAGGGGCACCUGGGCCGGGAUGUGCACAAGAGUCCCUCCACGGCAACAGCAAUAAAUAUCACACCUCAUCAGGUGCCAGGACAUCCCCGCUGACCUGGCCACAGAGCCAGCGGCUGCAGAAAACCCUGGCUGCCAGCUGGGGCAAUGCCCAGUGGCGGGGGGACGUCAGGCAGGCAGAGCCCCAGCGCCAGGCUUUCUGCCGAGGGGACACAGCCAUCGCAGGGAGGCAGGGCUUUGAAUGAGCUGAUCCUUGACCCGAAAGACAGUAUUUGAGACCUCUCUGUGAUGCUCUAAGCCUUCCUUCCAUUCUGCCACCCAUGAGAGUGAGGCCACCUGCACCAUCGCAGUGGGUGUGUGCAUGAGCCAGGAGGAAACCUGGGGCCGCGGUGACCGUUCCAGUUCGACAGUUUACGAAAAAGAAUUGGUAAAAUACGCAUAACAUUUACUGUCUUAAAGUUACAAUUCAGCAGGGCGCCUGGGUGGCUCAGUCGGUUAAGCGACUGCCUUCGGCUCAGGUCAUGAUCCUGGAGUCCCGGGAUCGAGUCCCACAUCGGGCUCCCUGCUCGGCGGGGAGUCUGCUUCUCCCUCUGACCCUCCUCCCUCUCGUGCUCUCUGUCUCUCAUUCUUUCUCUCUCAAAUAAAUAAAUAAAAUCUUUAAAAAAAAAAAAUUUACAAUUCAGCAGCAUUCAGGACAUUUGCUUGCCGUGUUUUGCU